rnacentral:rRNA from 1 species
AUACGUAGGGUGCAAGCGUUAAUCGGAAUUACUGGGCGUAAAGCGUGCGCAGGCGGUUUUGUAAGACAGUGGUGAAAUCCCCGGGCUCAACCUGGGAACUGUCAUUGUGACUGCAAGGCUGGAGUGCGGCAGAGGGGGAUGGAAUUCCGCGUGUAGCAGUGAAAUGCGUAGAUAUGCGGAGGAACACCGAUGGCGAAGGCAAUCCCCUGGGCCUGCACUGACGCUCAUGCACGAAAGCGUGGGGAGCAAACAGGAUUAGAUACCCUGGUAGUCCACGCCCUAAACGAUGUCAACUGGUUGUUGGGGAUUUAUUUUCUCAGUAACGAAGCUAACGCGUGAAGUUGACCGCCUGGGGAGUACGGCCGCAAGGUUAAAACUCAAAUGAAUUGGCGGGG